rnacentral:rRNA from 1 species
UACAAAGAAAGCUAUUAAGGGCUAAUGGUGGAUGCCUAGACUGUAAGAGGCGAUGAAGGACGUACUAGACUGCGAUAAGCUUCGGGGAGCCGUCAAGAGGCAUUGAUCCGAAGAUUUCCGAAUGGGACAACCCAGCAUAAUGAAGAUUAUGUUACCCUACGGGGGGCUAACCUGGUGAAGUGAAACAUCUCAGUAGCCAGAGGAAGAGAAAUCAAACGAGAUUCCGUAAGUAGCGGCGAGCGAACGCGGAAGAGGGCAAACCCUAUGCUUGCAUAGGGGGUUGAAGGACCAUAAUAAGAGACUAAAGAUGAUAGUAGAAAUAGUUGGAAAGCUAUAGCAUAGAAGGUGAUACUCCUGUAUACGAAAUUAUCAAUAGCUCAAAUGGUAUCCUGAGUAGGUCGGAACACGUGGUAUUUUGACUGAAGCCGGGGG